rnacentral:rRNA from 1 species
GACGAACGCUGGCGGCAGGCCUAACACAUGCAAGUCGAGCGGACCGUUCGGGGUCAUCUGCGGACGUGUGAUUAACGCGUGGGAAUAUGCCCUUCUCUACGGUAUCGUCCUGGGAAACUGGGGGUAAUACCGUAUACGCCCUUUGGGGGAAAGAUUUAUCGGGGCAGGAUUAGCCCGCGUUGGAUUAGGUAGUUGGUGGGGUAAUGGCCUACCAAGCAGACGAUCCAUAGCUGGUUUGUGAGGAUGAUCAGCCACACUGGGACUGAGACACGGCCCAGAACCGGACGGGAGGGAGGGGUGGGGAAUAUUAGACAAUGGGGCCAAACGUGAUAUAGCCGUGCCGGGUGAGUGAUGAAGGCCGUAGGGUUGUAAAGCUGUUUGAGAUGGGAAGAUAAUGACGGUACCGGCAAAAGAAGCCCCGGCUAACUACGUG